CCUACGGGAGGCAGCAGUAGGGAAUAUUGCUCAAUGGGGGAAACCCUGAAGCAGCAACGCCGCGUGGAGGAUGAAGGUUUUCGGAUUGUACACUCCUUUUGUUAGAGAAGAUAAUGACGGUAUCUAACGAAUAAGCACCGGCUAACUCCGUGCCAGCAGCCGCGGUCAUACGGAGGGUGCAAGCGUUACUCGGAAUCACUGGGCGUAAAGAGCGCGUAGGCGGGAUAGCAAGUCAGAUGUGAAAUCCUAUGGCUUAACCAUAGAACUGCAUUUGAAACUGUUAUUCUAGAGUAUGGGAGAGGUAGGUGGAAUUCUUGGUGUAGGGGUAAAAUCCGUAGAGAUCAAGAGGAAUACUCAUUGCGAAGGCGACCUGCUAGAACAUAACUGACGCUGAUGCGCGAAAGCGUGGGGAGCAAACAGGAUUAGAUACCCCAGUAGUC
rnacentral:rRNA from 1 species